rnacentral:rRNA from 1 species
AACGAACGCUGGCGGCAUGCCUAACACAUGCAAGUCGAACGAAGCCUUCGGGCUUAGUGGCGCACGGGUGCGUAACACGUGGGAAUCUGCCCUUAGGUACGGAAUAACAGUUAGAAAUGACUGCUAAUACCGUAUGAUGACUCCGGUCCAAAGAUUUAUCGCCUAAGGAUGAGCCCGCGUCGGAUUAGCUAGUUGGUGAGGUAAAGGCUCACCAAGGCGACGAUCCGUAGCUGGUCUGAGAGGAUGAUCAGCCACACUGGGACUGAGACACGGCCCAGACUCCUACGGGAGGCAGCAGUGGGGAAUAUUGGACAAUGGGCGAAAGCCUGAUCCAGCAAUGCCGCGUGAGUGAAGAAGGCCUUAGGGUUGUAAAGCUCUUUUACCCGGGAUGAUAAUGACAGUACCGGGAGAAUAAGCUCCGGCUAACUCCGUGCCAGCCGCCGCCGUAA